UAUAGGAGGUCCAGGCUGCCCAGUGACUACAAGUUCAACGGCCGCGGUAUUUUGACCGUGCAAAGGUAGCGCAAUCACUUGUCUCUUAAAUAGAGACCUGUAUGAAUGGCUAAACGAGCCCUUAACUGUCUCCCCCCUCCAGUCAGUGAAAUUGAUCUACCCGUGCAGAAGCGGGUGUAAUAAUACAAGACGAGAAGACCCUUUGGAGCUUAAGGUACAAAAAUCAGCCACGUCAAGCAACUUAAUAAAAAGCAAAAACUUUGUGGAUAAUGACAUUUUUACCUUCGGUUGGGGCGACCACGGAGGAAAAAAGAGCCUCCAGGUGGACUGGGAAAACAUCCUAAAGCCAAGAGAGACAUCUCUAGGCCACAGAACAUCUGACCAAUCAUGAUCCGGCUGAUAAAGCCGAUCAACGAACCAAGUUACCCUAGGGAUAACAGCGCAAUCCUCUCCCAGAGUCCAUAUCGACGAGGGGGUUUACGACCUCGAUGUUGGAUCAGGACAUCCGAAUGGUGCAGCC
rnacentral:rRNA from 1 species